rnacentral:rRNA from 1 species
UACGAAGGGUGCAAGCGUUAAUCGGAAUUACUGGGCGUAAAGGGUGCGUAGGCGGUUGUUUAAGUCUGUCGUGAAAUCCCCGGGCUCAACCUGGGAAUGGCGAUGGAUACUGGGCAGCUAGAGUGUGUCAGAGGAUGGUGGAAUUCCCGGUGUAGCGGUGAAAUGCGUAGAGAUCGGGAGGAACAUCAGUGGCAAAGGCGGCCAUCUGGGACAACACUGACGCUGAAGCACGAAAGCGUGGGGAGCAAACAGG